ACUAAGCUUGCCCUGUGCCCCCUGCCUCAGCCCCUCCCCCCUCCAUUCCACUGUUUCACACCCCACCGGCUAUGUGAGAACUGAGCCCAGCCCCACAUGCUAGUGAGGCUCCAGAAGGCCUGCAGGGCAACACCACUCACUCGUUGGCUUCCUGAAGCUGGGAGGACUUGGUUGGUGCCUGGACAAACUUCACUUCCCCUUGGAUGGUGGCAUUCUUAAGCCCCGUCUUGCUAAAAUCUAGUUCCUGAGAGGAGCGCUGAAGUCUUCAACUAUGAUGGCAGAUCCCACUGUUUCUCCAUGGAAGUUACAUCAGGUUUCCUCUUAAGUAAAAUUUUAAUGAUUUCA